UUUUGAAGAGUGGUUUUACAAACACUCUUGUAACUCUUAAAAAAACAAAAAAAAAAUUAUUUGUACUUUUAAAUUUUAAAAAUAUAUACGAUAUAUACGAUUUAGACAAUAGUCAUACUAUCAUUGGUAAAGCAAACGAAUUAAACCGUGUAAUAUUAUGGAGUCUCAACAAAAUCCAAUACAAACGUUUGAACCUACAAAUAAUUUAAUGUAUGACUCUAUGUCACCUAGUAGUCCGGAGGCGGUACAGAAUCCCAGUGCAGCUCCAACUGUAGCAUCAACUGUAGCACCAACUGUAGCGCCAGCUGUAGCGCCAGCUGUAGCGCCAACUGUAGCUCCAACUGUGGCUCCAACUGCAGCUACAACAGCAGCUCCAGAUAGUAAUACCUGUGCAAGCGUUGUGACCAUACCAGUGCCUGUUGUGCAAAGUGAGGAAUACUAUCAGUACGUCACUGUAAAAGGCUCAUUACAUGAUCGUUCAUGCGCAAUUUUCGGUUUAAAUGAAGACGAGAUACAAGCUUUAAAUAAACGUAUUCCAACUGGCGUUAAACGUGUUAUAAACGGUGUUAUGGUGGCUGUACCUCCUAUGGUGAUUCUCAAUCUUUUGGCACAAUUGAGCUACAAAGUUGUAUGCAGUUGUGGGGAGGCAGAGAUAUGCUGGACCAUGCAACGAGAAGUUUAAUCAUGCAAAAACAUAUACAAAAAUAAAAUAAUUUUUUAUUAGCAAUAUAAAACUAAAAAUAAGUUCAUAUUCUAAACUUGUAUAAAUUUGUGUGAAAAAAAAACCUUUAUUGAAUUCGAAAACAACAGUAUCUUCUUUAUAUGCUUAAUAUUGUAUCUUAUAUGUUAAAUAAAAUAUUAACAUUAAAAUAAAAAAAAAAAGUGACGUUAAAAAACUAUACUAUAAAGAUAAUAGAUUAAAA